GUUGGUCUAAUCGUAAUGACGGGGCUGAGUGAAUACCAGAGAAGCUUUCUGUGGAAGAAGUCGUGUUUGUCAGAGUCCUACAACCCCUCAGUGGGGCGGAAGUACUCAUGGGCCGGACUUAGAUCGGAUCAGUUAGGGAUCACGAAAGAGCCAAGUUUUAUUUCAAAAAGGAGGGUUCCUUACCAUGACCCUCAGAUUUCAAAAUCGCUGAAGUGGAAUGGAGCCAUCACAGAGGAUGAUACGGUUGUCCCACCUGAGCCCCAGACCCUGCCAACACAAAGUCUACAGGAGGCAGAGCCAAAGGAAGAUGCUAACCAAGAAACAGCUCCCUCGUUAGAGGCUUCCAGGGUUCCCAAGAGAACUCGAUCUCAUUCUGCAGACUCCAGAGCUGAAGGGGCUUCAGAUGCUGUGGAAAAGCACCAGGAUGUAACAAGAAACCAUGUACUGGAUCCCAAAGAAGCGGAGUUGGAAGCUUCUACCAAACCUCUUGCAGAGCGUGUAGACCCCAGGCUAGGAAUGUCCAUCAUACUUCUCUAGAAAAGUGUGGCAGGUUUUAUUGGUUUCAUCAUCAUUUUUCACUACUACAUUGUGUAUUUGAAAUUUUUUUCUUGAUAUUUUCUUGUGUCUCUGGCCUAGAUGCACACCAGGCUGCUGAAAGUUACUAAGAAUGGCUCUAUUCUUAAUACUCGUUAUUUUGUACCGUGUACUGGUUGUACUAAGACAUUGCCUUCCUGAGAUGAACAGCUGCCUCUGGAUUCUUUUCUCCAGAGAGACUGGCACCAGAGUCCUGAGGGAUGAGGUCAAGUUGAGGCAGAAGGGGAGCAGGCUGUUUCUUUGGCUGGGGGGCUCAGCUGACUUCUGCCUACCCUCGUUUCUCUUUCUUACUGUGACCAGCAAGGGAACAAACAGCAUCUCAGUUGACAGGAGGGAAAGGAAGGAGCCUUCUGGCUGGCUCUCCGUGUCCUCUGAUGUCACCGCUGGCCUGUAGCAGGCACAUAAGUGGAGGCUGCAGGGGCGUGUGUGGGAAUCUCACUGCCUCCCACAUUUAGUUCUGUUGCUCUUGCCCUAAUUUAUUGCUUCAGCCACUGACUGGAACCCAGGAGCCUUUUAGGAGUGCUGGAGAAGACUCCGUGACUUGUUGAGAAAGCCAGGGGAUGUAGGGGGACCGUGGAAGGUGAUGUGUGAGCUUGGUGGGCAAAGGGAAGGGUGGCCGCAGAAGUUGGGGAUACGGCAAGGGGCUGUGAUUUUUAAGACAGGAGUUUUAAAUAUUUUGACAGUUAAAUGUGAUUAGAAGUUAAAAGUUUGCUAUACUGUAUGCAUGUAGUUAGCAAUACGAUAAGGAACACUUAAAACUUAAGGGGAUAAAUUUCAUGUUACAUACUUUAUAGCACACUUUACAAAGGAACAGAUUUUAAUAGCCUUGACUGGGUUUUCUUCUCCCCAACAGUUGGAUAGGCAUCUUCGUAAGAAAGCUGGAUUGGCUGUUGUUCCAUCGUACAAUGCCUUGAGACAUUCUGAAUAUCAAAGGCAGUUUGUCUGGAAGACCCGUAAAGAGGCUGCUCCUGUGUCUGCAGCCAGUCAGGUUUUCCGUAAUAGAAGCCAAAUUUUUCCACAAUUCAAAGGGAAUACAAUUGUCCAUGAGUCUGAAUACAAGCGGAAUUUCAAGGGUUUGUCUCCAGUGAAGCAACCGAAGCUAAGGGAGGGUUUGAAAGGGAACAGUGGCCUUAAGACAUUGUCUCCAGAGAAGAAGGUAUCUGCCAGCUCCUAACAGUCUCUUUUGUUGAGGUUCACUAUAUGAGAUACUGAAUCAAGGAGUCUAACAUUCUUCCUGCUACAGUGUAGAGAGCUACACUGGAAAGCGUCCUGAGUCCUUGACAAUGGACUCAGUGUGUGAGGUGUGGUGUGGAUUGAACAUGGGAGACUGGAAAUAGAAAAGGUAACUGGGGAUUGUGGAAUUUUUUUAAUAUUAUUGUUUAUUGGUUUGAACAGUGAUUUUUGUUUAAAUUUUUGUUAGUCUGUGUGUGUGAGAGAGAGAGAGACAGAGACACAGAACAAGAGCAACGCACAGUGUGUGAGUAACACAUUGUGCACGUGACCGUGAGAGGACAGCCUUAAGUCAACUAUGUCACUCCACUGACCUUUCCAGAGAUCAAACUCAGGUCAUCAGGCUUGAGUGACAAGCUCUUACACAAAUGGAGCCAUCUCCCUGGCCCCACUUUUUAUUGUCAUCAUUGUUUCCGACAGACCAUUUAUGUUACCUAGUCUGGCCUCUACUUUGCUAUAAUAGGCAGGCUUGGCCUUGAACUCCUGAUCUUUCUGCCUGUGUUCCCAGUUGUUAGGAUUACAGACCUGUGCUCCCAUGCCUGCCUCUGAAUAGUGGAUAUUCUAUCAAUGAUAUGAGAGUUUUCUAUUGUACUGAAUGUUGGGAGGAAGAAGAAUGUCUAAGAAAAUCUAUUCAGAUAGACAUAACGUUUAGCCGCUUCUUGGAUCUCAGAGUUGAGAAGAAAAAAAAACAAUGAGAAAGGCGCAGCAAAUUUGAAUCUGGAAACAGCACAGCACAGGAAUUAACUGCUGUGUCUGAUGUGAAGCAGCCUUGGGUGGGUCUGAUGGCUCAGCAGGUAAAAGCAUUUGCUGCCCAGGCCUGACAACUUGAGUUCAGAUCCCUCUAACUCAUGUAAAGGCAGAAGCCGUGGUACUUGUAAUGCCGGCAUUCCUAUAGAGAGAUGAGACAUCACAGGCCAGAUUGCCUGAACUCUGAAGCUCACUGGAAAGUAAGGAGAGAGCCCCUGACCUCAACCAAGGCUUAACGUUGAGGCCUACAUCGGAGGUUGUGCUCUGACAAGCUCAUCCUCUCCCUCUCAGACGGGAACAAAAUCAUUAUACACACAGAAAUGAAUAAACCAGGUUGAAAAGGUAAGAAGAGACUCAUGAAAUUCUAUAAAACAACAACAACAAGACGGCAAUGAUGUCAAAAGCCAGCUAUGUUAAGAACAGAAUGGCAUGUUGUGUCUUUCCACGAUGUCAGAAAUUACUGAAUAAUAACAAUAAACUCACGAGCUUCACCACUACUUGUGUAGACAAGCCAUUUAUUCGUCUAGACCUCAUUAUCUGUGCUGAACAGAUGAUGGGUACUUAUGCAGAUAGGGAAUCAUUUUGCCCCCGCAUUUACACUCAAAAUGGAGCAAAAUGCACUUUUUGUAAAGUGGAUUCACUCAGGGCUAGGUCUUGUCUAUUGGUUAUAAUUCUAUACAAUAAGCAUAAUACUGUAGGCUUCAGCCAACCAUGAUUAGCUUAGAAACAGACCACGCAAAGGAAGUUCUUAACUUCCAACCAUUAUCACUUGCCAGUGUUGGACUUCCCCAUGACAAGCUUAAUAGAGGCCUGAGUCUCAGCAGUUUACCUUGAGGUGAUACCUGGUUUCAGGAAUGACCACAAACUGAGAUUACCCAGGCACCACCCAGGGACAGGCCAUCCAAAGGAAAUUCCUAACGUUCCAACCUUGUAGAGAGAGUCACCUGCCAGCACGCAUUCACCAGGGCACCCCCUAGACAAAUAUCAGCCACUCAGGGAUCUUGAGCCUUAGAAAUCUCUCACCCCCAACUUUACUACUAUAAAAACCCAACUCGAACUGAGCUCGGGGCUCUCCAAUUAUUUCAAUAGGUUGGACACACAGAGAGACUGAGUUUGCAAACUUGUAUAAAAACUCGGUUUCCUUGUUGGUUUUGGAGAUACUUUGCAGAUCUGGGCAUAACAAUACUAGAACCAUAACUCCAGGUCUUAAAAUCUGUAAGAUGCCAUCAAUUUCUGGCAUCAUCUCCUUAUAUGGCAUUUAAAAAAUACCUUGCACUAUGCUGAAUUUAAAAAAUCAAAACUUCUUUGUACGACAGUAUUAUCCAGUGCCCAGUACUACACAGAGUUUAAAUAGAUGAAGGAUUUCUUUUAAAAAACAAAUUUGACCUUUAAUAGGAUGUUGUUUUUGAAGGGGAAUCCCAGACAGUGGGGCCUCCAUUCUAGACCCUGGAUGGGGCACCAACCAUACCCAAACACCUGUUUUCACAGAGAGAACCUUUAUUAAGCGGAAA